GACGAACGCUGGCGGCGUGCUUAACACAUGCAAGUCGAACGGAAAGGCCCUGCUUUUGUGGGGUGCUCGAGUGGCGAACGGGUGAGUAACACGUGAGUAACCUGCCCUUGACUUUGGGAUAACUUCAGGAAACUGGGGCUAAUACCGGAUAGGAGCUCCUGCUGCAUGGUGGGGGUUGGAAAGUUUCGGCGGUUGGGGAUGGACUCGCGGCUUAUCAGCUUGUUGGUGGGGUAGUGGCUUACCAAGGCUGUGACGGGUAGCCGGCCUGAGAGGGUGACCGGCCACAUUGGGACUGAGAUACGGCCCAGACUCCUACGGGAGGCAGCAGGGGAGAAUAUUGCACAAUGGGCGGAAGCCUGAUGCAGCAACGCCGCGUGCGGGAUGACGGCCUUCGGGUUGUAAACCGCUUUCGCCUGUGACGAAGCGUGAGUGACGGUAAUGGGUAAAGAAGCACCGGCUAACUACGUG
rnacentral:rRNA from 1 species